AUGGAGGUGAUUUUAAGUGAGGUAAAUUAAGGUAGUUGCCUUCACUGAUUACCACCUCCAAGAUUAACUGGCAGAGAGAACAUCCUUGGUUUGCAGUGGAAUGCCUCGGGUCGCUGCAUCUGCUCACAAAU
rnacentral:scRNA from 1 species